rnacentral:lncRNA from 1 species
GGGGGACCCAUGGUAGGUCCAGUACUCAGACUCCGAAGCAUAGUAGGGGUCUGGCGAGUAGAUGGGACUGUACUUGGAGGUCUGGCUGAUGUCUUCACUUGUUUUGCUCUUGGUUGCUGUAGACAAAUCACCUGCAGAGGACCCAAGGAGAGCACUUCAGGAAGGCAGAGUGACCGGGAUGGGACUGUGUACCCUUUUCCUAAUGAAAGAAGGAAGUCACCCUCUGCAACCUUACUCAUCUACAUCUCCUCUGCAAGUCUCCAUCCACUCUCAGGAGACUGUGACUGAGAACAACUUACAGCAGGGGUUCCCGAGUUGGGCUGAGUAUCAGAAUCACUUGGAGAAACCGUGACACAUACAAAAUUCGAAUUCAGUAAGCCUGGGGUGGGGCCCAGGAAUCUGUAUGCAUCCCCUGUUAUUCUAAUGAACACUUCAAGUACUAAUGCCUUGGAGUGUGACUCUCCCAGGGGUAUGUGCAUUUUUCAAAGGUUUUUACCAAUUAUGGAACUUAGGAUGCCAGACAGCAGGUAAGGGGGAGAUUGCAAAGGUGGUGGGAAAGAACUGAGGGGACAUGAGGACUUUGUUCUUUUGAAAUGACACCAAACUCCGCCCUAAUGUCACCCUGGGUGAUGGGGCAGUCAACAAGAAGGACCAAGAUCAGCCUUGUGUUUUGUGGCUCCUGGUGGCCUGUGCAGGGCCAUCUGCAUAGAUGGCCUCUCCUUGUUAACCUCCCCCAUCUCCUUGUGUGGCCAAGCCCUAUCUGCCUCUGACCAUACCAUGCCGUUUGUAG